rnacentral:tRNA from 1 species
GUCCCGUUGGUGUAGUUGGUUAUCACGUGGGUCUCAUAAUCCCAAGGCCGAGAGUUCGAGUCUCUCACGAGACA